GCGCCCGUAGCUCAGUUGGAUAGAGCGCUUGCCUCCGGAGCAAGAGGUCACAGGUUCGAGUCCUGUCGGGCGUA
rnacentral:tRNA from 1 species